rnacentral:rRNA from 1 species
AGCGAACGUUAGCGGCGGGCCUAACACAUGCAAGUCGCGGGAGAAAAGGGCUUCGGCCCCGAGUAAACCGGCGCACGGGUGAGUAACACGUAGGCAAUCUGCCCUCCGGUGGGGGACAACCGGCCGAAAGGCUGGCUAAUACCGCAUUCGUCGACGAGGACUGCGGUUCUUGUCGGGAAAGCGGGCCUCUCCAUGGAAGCUCGCGCCGGAGGAGGAGCCUGCGUCCCAUCAGCUAGUUGGGAGGUAACGGCUCACCAAGGCAUAGACGGGUAGCUGGUCUGAGAGGAUGAUCAGCCACACUGGGGACUGAGACACGGCCCAGACUCCUACGGGAGGCAGCAGUGGGGAAUAUUGGACAAUGGGCGCAAGCCUGAUCCAGCCACGCCGCGUGAGUGAUGAAGGCC